GAAGAGAUGACCGAGUGGUUCAAGGCGUAGCAUUGGAAUAGCUAUGUAGGCUUUUGUUUAUAGAUGGUUCGAACCCCUCUCUUUUCG
rnacentral:tRNA from 1 species